rnacentral:rRNA from 1 species
UACGUAGGCAGCGAGCGUUGUUCGGAAUUACUGGGCGUAAAGAGCUUGUAGGCGGUUUGUCGCGUCUGCCGUGAAAAUCCGGGGCUCAACCCCGGACUUGCGGUGGGUACGGGCAGACUAGAGUGUGGUAGGGGAGACUGGAAUUCCUGGUGUAGCGGUGAAAUGCGCAGAUAUCCGGAGGAACACCGACGGCGUAGGCAGCGCCCUGGACGACACCUGACGCUGAGGCACGAAAGCUGGGGGAGCGAACAGG